rnacentral:rRNA from 1 species
GAUGAACGCUGGCGGCGUGCCUAAUACAUGCAAGUCGAGCGAACAGACGAGGAGCUUGCUCCUCUGACGUUAGCGGCGGACGGGUGAGUAACACGUGGAUAACCUACCUAUAAGACUGGGAUAACUUCGGGAAACCGGAUCUAAUACCGGAUAAUAUAUUGAACCGCAUGGUUCAAUAGUUAAAUACGGUUUUUCUGUCUCUUAUCGAUUGUUCCACGCCGCAUUAGCUAGUUGGUAAGGUAACGGCUUACCAAGGCAACGAUGCGUAGCCGACCUGAGAGGGUGAUCGGCCACACUGGAACUGAGACACGGUCCAGACUCCUACGGGAGGCAGCAGUAGGGAAUCUUCCGCAAUGGGCGAAAGCAUGACGGAGCAACGCCGCGUGAGUGAUGAAGGUCUUCGGAUCGUAAAACUCUGUUAUUAGGGAAGAAAAAAUGUGUAAGUAACUAUGCACGUAUUGACGGUACCUAAUCAGAAAGCCACGGCUAACUACGUG